GGGGGGGGCAAGCGUUGUUCGGAAUUACUGGGCGUAAAGGGCGCGUAGGCGGCAACGGAAGUCAUGGGGUGAAAUCCCCCAGCCUAACUGGGGGAACUGCCUGUGAAACCACGUAGCUGGAGUGCUGGAGAGGAAAGCGGAAUUCCUGGUGUAGCGGUGAAAUGCGUAGAUAUCAGGAGGAACAUCAGAGGCGAAGGCGGCUUUCUGGACAGACACUGACGCUGAGGCGCGAAAGCCAGGGGAGCAAACGGGAUUAGAUACCCCGGUAGUCCUGGCUGUAAACGAUGAGCACUUGGUGUGGGGGGUGCAUUCAGUCCCCCUGUGCCGGAGAAAACUCGUUAAGUGCUCCGCCUGGGGAGUACGGCCGCAAAGGCUG
rnacentral:rRNA from 1 species